UGACUGUUAUCGAACACUCGUCAAUUUUUACAUUAAAAAAAAAAACAAUAAUUUUUACUACACGAUUUCUUAAUAAAUUCUGCAGACGUCAAACACAAACUCUAUUAAUAUUUAAACAGCCUUUUUUAAUGACUAUAUAAGUACUUGUGAACCAAUUGACGUCAUUUAAACAACUAAUUCUCAUUCUCAUAAAUAUGUUAUCGAUUUCAUCGAAUAAGACGUCCAAGCAACUGAAAACACUUUUAAAAAAAUGUCAAAAACGCUGAUAAUUAUUUUUUUGGCUUUCGCGAUCAUGGCAAUAAUUAGAAGUGCCGAUGGAUUCUGUUCAGACGUGGGAACGGCGUGUGUCUCAUUCAUACCAUGCUGUGGAAAUGCUGAAUGUCAGAUGAAGGGUUUUUUUUAUGGAGAAUGUGUACCCAUCAAUAAAAACGAGUAUUCAAACUUAAUGGAAGAAAAUGAUAUGAAAAUUGUGUGGUAAAUUCAAAUCUAAGAUUUUUUGAUAUGUAAAAAAUUUGUGGAGUGAACGAGGAUUAAAUCCGGAGUGAGUGCGGAGCGGAUGACUGUAUAUUUAUCUAAUCGAAAUUUUAUCUAAGCAAAAAUAUUUUAUCUAAGUGAAAUUUACUCCGAAUUGAAAUUUAUUUAAAUUUUAAAAAUCCGACUCGGAGUGAAAGUGGAUUUAAAUAAAAUCCGCGUCAUUCCGAAUCACUCCUCUAAAAAAAACUCCCUAUUUACUCCAUAUGCGGAGUAAAUUUUUUUGUAACACUCCGUGACAGUGAAUUCGGAUUGAAAUAAAAUCCGUAUUCACUCCCAAUUUUUUACAGUGGAAAUUAACCAUCUUAAAAAAAAAAAAUAAAUAUUACUUUUAAAUAAAUUUAAGGAUUUUCUUUAUCUGAAAUUCUUGUUAUUUUUUUAUAUUAGUAUUUGAUUUUGUGGAUAACCCUUUUGAUCAGAUUAGCCGCCUAAGGCGUAUACAUAUUUACAUUACAUUACUAAGAUUUCCAAGCCCAAUUACGUCGUGAUUUACAUUGUACUCUACCGUAAAAAAAAAAAAAAAAAAAAUUAACAAAACAGACAAUGAUUUUUUUUUUUUAUUUAACUGAAUUUAAAAUAUUAAACUCAAAUGUUACACAGAAAAAACUAGAUUUUUUGGUACAAAAAAUUUUACCCGCCUCUAAAAAAUUUAUAUCAUCAUGAAUUGAAAAAAAAAAUUUUUCUGCCCUCCGGCCGGAAAGUGGCAACUUUCGGGCCGCUGCCCUGAACGAAGUUGCAACUUUCCGGCUUUGUCGAGCAGAAAAAUAGUAUACGCACCUUGGCCAGUAAAAAAGAAAGCCUCAGACCACAUGUUUGUCAACCUCGGCUUCGCCUCGGCCAACAAUUACAUGUGCUCUGAGACUUUUCUUAUUUUACUGGCCUAGGUAUGUAAUAUACUAUUUUUUUGAGGCCAGAAAAAAUUUCUCCGCUAAGAAAUCAUUUUUUUCUGUGAUCAAUUUUACUCUUUAAUUGUAAGUAAAAUGGGGCCAAGAUAAAUAAUUACUCUAGAUAUUUUUCAGUUAUGGAGUAAAAAACACUCAAUUUCGAGAAAUUUUUAACUAAAAAAUAAAACAAUAGGUACUAGUUUUUAUUUUUUCUACAUGUUUUUCAUUUUCGGUCCGGAUUUACUCUAAAUUUUAGGGUAAAUUUUAUCAAAAAAUUCUCUGUACACUCUUGACAUUUCGCUGCAUUUAAAAAAUUUUCUUUAAAAAAUAAAAACAAAGUAAACAAAAAUUAAUUAUUCUAAAAGGUUCAAAUGCAAUAAAACUAAAUAAUUAUUAUCGAGGACAACAGUAAGAAAAUUAAUAGUAUUUUAUAUUUAAGUAACUUUUAUAUUGAUCGAACAAAGUAAUCGGCUAAUUAAAAGCAGACUCAUACCAUGCAUAUAUAUAUGUAUAUAUACACAUAUACAGGAAGUAGUAUUAGUUACAAAGAUCGGGAAAAGUUGGGACUAUGUAUAGAAUGGAGACAAUUUAAUUAAGCUGAUGAAUUUACGGAUGAGAAAAAAAAAGUAAAAUAAUUGAGAGAAAAAUAAAAUGAUAAUGUAAAAGUUUGUAACGUCUAUAUAUAAGAUACUGAGUUAAAGAUCGUUACAUAGACAUUCUAAAUACGAUUUAUAUAUAGUUAGAUUCACUGUAAAUGUAUGUGUGUGAAUAAAGAUAUAGUAGGAUGAA